AACAAACGCUGGCGGCGUGCCUAACACAUGCAAGUCGUACGAGAAAGUCGGCUUCGGCCGAUGAGUACAGUGGCGCACGGGUGAGUAGCGCGUGGGUAAUCUGCCCCUCGGUCAGGAAUAACCCGUCGAAAGACGGGCUAAUACCCGAUAACACUGACGCUCUGCGGAGUGUCUUUCAAAGAAGGCCUCUGUUUACAAGCUUUCGCCGGAGGAUGAGCCCGCGUACCAUUAGCUAGUUGGCAGGGUAAUGGCCUACCAAGGCAACGAUGGUUAGCUGGUCUGGGAGGGUGGCCAGCCACACUGGAACUGGGACACGGUCCAGACUCCUACGGGAGGCAGCAGUGAGGAAUCUUGCGCAAUGGGGGAAACCCUGACGCAGCAACGCCGCGUGAGUGAGGAAGGCUUUCGGGUCGUAAAGCUCUGUCAGAUGGAACGAGCCGCCGAGGGUGAAUAUCCUUCGGCCCGACGGUACCACCAGAGGAAGCACCGGCUAACCCUGUGCCAGCAGCCGCCGUAAUAC
rnacentral:rRNA from 1 species